GUGGGGGGGGGGGACCUGAUCGAUCCCUUUAACUCAUGUUGUGAAUUUGUCUCUCGCUUUGUUGUCAGUGACAUGUGCAUGCUUGUUCUUGUGUGUGUGUGUGAGCGCUUCGUCUUCUAAUGCUCAUGUUCCAUGGAUAAGUGUGUGUGUGUGUGUGUGAGAGAGAGACGUUGUAUCCGAUCCCUGUUUCCAUUCUCUAAUUUGCUUCCUUCUGUUACCUGACUAGCAGGGCAAAGGGGUCGAGGCUGGUCCUGACGUGUCACUAUGAGGACUGACCAGCGUCCGGCGUUGUCACGCUGCAGGCUGUCACUGGUGGAUGGAAUGCUGCCGUGCUGUACAAGAUAAUCACGAAACAGGAGCUGUGACUUUGGGAGUGGAUCACGUUUUUCUUUUUGUGUGGCGUCACCACGGGCGGAUGGAUGGACGUCCUCCUGGAAAAGCACUUUUUUUUUAAUCUUAAAGUCUGACUUUCUGAAGUCGGACUCCAUGUGACGUGAUAAUCUGAUUAUCAGGUCGCUCACGUGAGACGAUCGUUGCAAAGCUGGACACUAGGAUAACGGUUCUCUACAGAUGUGAUCAUGUGACGCUGGCCGUGGGCUUGUUAGCUACCUCAGUUUCAAGGACUCGCUGGAGGCAGAGCUCCGCCCCCUCUGGCCCUGCCACGCACACUCACGCACGCACAAGAAGCAGCAACAACGAAGCACUUAAAGCAAGCGUUUUCACUUCUGAGACAGGAGCUGAUGGACAGAGAAAAAACAGGCAGUCAUCCUAUGUCUUCCACUGUGGGGGGGGGGGCAUAUAGUUAAAGGGGUAGUUCAGGAUUUAGGGUAAAAAAAAAUUCACAAAUUUUAGCCACUUAACAAAAGUCUGUUUAAAAUCUACGAUGUGUUCACGCCACGUCUCCCACACCAAAGCCCAUAGAGAAAAUCUGUGAUUUUAGCUUGCGGUAGACACAGGAGCUGCUGGUCUACUGCUGCCUCGUGUGGUCACUUUGUGCCACUGAGAUAAAUCCGAAUGCAGGAUUUUUAAUGCCGAAUUUUACAAAAUAAGACACAGUGAUGGAGGCAGCAGUGGAUCAACAUCUCCUGUGUGUGUGUGUGUGUGUGUGUGUGUGUGUGUGAUGUUAAAAUCACUGACUUUCUCUAUGGGCUUUGGUGUGGGAGAGAAAACGGUGAGAUAAAGACGUGAACAUGUUUCUUAAGAUGUCGUAGACUGAAACUGACGUAGAUUUUGUCUUCUGUUAAGAGGUUAAAAUGUCUGUUUUUAUAAGCCAUGUUUUCCUGAGUGUGCGCGCUCGUGCUCACUCAGCUGUGUGUAAGAUGCUGUCAGUGACUCAUAAAACCUGAACCAUGCCUUUAAUUUGUCCUUGUUUCGUGUGUCGUGGACGAGUAACGACGUCUAGUUGGGCUGCCAAUUUUUUCACAGACUCUGUGACUUGUUUUGUUUUUAGUUUCCACAUCCUUGUUUUGAUCAUGUGGAUCAGUCCAGUCCAGUUUAGUCCCGUUCACUGUGGCACGAAAUUAAAAUUGUGUUUCCACUGUCAAACAUUCAAAUUGUUACCAAAAUAAGUGAUCUGUACUGCCCCCUGCUGUUCUGGUGGUCCAGAAACAGUCGGUCACAUGACUAGAAGACAGCACACGGACAGUUGUGUGUCCUACUGUCGCCCUGUAUUUAAUUUGUCGCGCUCUUCUUUGCUCAGUUUUGUUCCUCAGAAAUUUCACUGGUGACGUUACGUCAUCUACGUAGCUGCGCAUCUCUUACGUGAAUAGCAUGUUUUAACGUAACUGACUCCGCAGUCAGAUCAGAGGGAAAGGUUGUGAACCGCACCAUGGUGACCUGGACUAGACUGGACUGUGUUGGACUACAAUAAACUGGACUAAACUAAACCAGACUGGACUGGAAUUUGAUUAACUGAACCAGACUACAAUGGACUGAACUUAAUUGAACCAGAAUGGACUGUGGUUGACAUAAGUGCAAAGUGGACGAGACCAGACUGGACUGUGGUGGAUGAAAGUGGACUUGGCUAAAUGAAACCAGACUGGACUGGAUUAGGGUGGACUGGACUGAAGCUCCUGGUAGAAACGAGGCUCAGACGUAGAAAAGGUUUGAUUUUUAACAUUAAACUGAUUGUUGUGUUUUUUUUACAGUGAAUUUGUGUCAAAGUCAUUUCUUUAAAAGGAAAAAAAACAGUUUAAACUUCCUGUUGUUUUAUGCUGUGCUUGAUUCCUUUCACACACACUUUUUACAAACACAAAAAAGUUAAAUAAAAUCAGGAAACUUUUCAACUAAAAAACGUUUUAAUUCAACACACAAACAUUAAAAAAAAAAUGUACUUUUAAAAUGUUAAUUCUUCUAUUCUGAAGUUGAAGUUUAAACAGAAUUUUCCUUCAAAUGUUUGAACUGGGUCACGGCCAAAGGCAUUGUGGGAAACGUAGGCAAUGACGGAAUCAAUCAGGCGAGAGGUGACGCGGUGUUUCAGUGUGUUGCAGUUCCACAUGUCUGUUUGUUUUUUUCCUGUAUUGACUUUAAGUGUUUUUUUAAAGUGACUUUUCUUUGCUACGGUGUUUUCUUGUAAAUGAAUUGUUUUAUACUGUACAGUGAGCCCAGGUCAGACUAUUUUUUAAUAAAUAAAGUUAUUGACUUUGAA